CGGGAACCCCGAACAUCCCCUUUCUCUACUCUUUCCCUUUGGAGUCUAUAGAGGGAGAAGCAGAGCCUAAGGCUUCAUCAGUUUGAAUACUGGCUGGGGCUGGGCAAGUUAGUGGCUCAAAGUGUUGAAUCUGUCCCUAAAGCAGGGACAGAAAUGGAGGCUCAGGAGGUAGAGGUGGCAGUGGGCGUGCAGGAGAAGCUGUAGGUCAGGAGGUAGAGGUGGCAGUGGGCGUGCAGGAGAACUGUAGGUCAGAGAGGUAGAGGUGGCAGUGGGCGUGCAGGAGAAGGUGUAGGUCGGGAGGUAGAGGUGGCAGUGGGCGUGCAGGAGAAGCUGUAGGUCGGGAGGUAGAGGUGGCAGUGGGCGUGCAGGAGAAGCUGUAGGUCGGAGAGGGUGCAGAGUGGAGAACAGAUGAGCUGGAGUCACACCAUGCCCUAUACCCAGCCAGAGGCCGAAGUGAGCCUGUCACGGUAAUGCCACUGCCUGCUUGAUUCCCUCCCAUGCCUAGCCUGGGUUCUUCAUGAUCCCUGAGGCCCUCUUUGAUGUCAUCCCGCUGCCUCAAAACCUGUGUGUGCUGGUGGCUCCCUCUGCUUUCCUUCCAGAUGACUCCUUCGCUUCAGCUCAAAUGUCACCUUUGGCUGUUAAAAUCCUUUCCGGAGGAAGUUGUAAACAAUGCCUACCCCUCCUCCCGA
rnacentral:lncRNA from 1 species